rnacentral:lncRNA from 1 species
AGGGAUGGAAUGUUAUAUGUUUGGUAUCAGAGCCAAGGUUAUAGAUUAUUGGAUAAUUAAUUGAGUUGACUCAAUGUCUCUUAAAGGAUUUUCUCAAUAGGAUUUGUUUCUGAAAUUAUGAUUCAAUUCGAGAUAUUUUAAUUGGUCUCAAUAUUAUUCUAAUAAUAUUCUAGAGGAAAAAUCUAAGAGAAUGAUAGUAUAUAUUUUAUUUUGAGAUUUGGUAUCAUUGGGGUCUUCUUGAAGGUUGAUAAAUC